UGCUCGCCGAGCGGCGUGCCAUGUCGCCAUGGGCCAGCAGGUGGCGCUGUAGCCCAAGAAGCAGGACCAAGCGGGGGACUGGGGGAGACGCGGUGCGCCUGGAGGGGCAGACACCAGAGGUUCUCAGAGGUCCAUAUCCAAGGGCCAGCCUUGCUGCAGGACGUCUGUCAAACAGGCUGUCCUUGGAGCCCGAGAGCUGAGCCCUGGACAGCGCCAGCGCGAUGCCGUCUUCCAGUUCUGAAGCUUCAGUCUGGAAUCACAGUCUGGACUCUCCAGGGCGGAGUCGUCCCUGGGAUUCCUGAGUCACCUGACCUCCUCGGUGGGAUCGCCUCCAUUCUACAGGGACACUGGGAUGGCGCUUGGGGUCCACCCGGGUCAUCCUCAUCUCGAGAUCCUUAACUUGAUCUCAUCUGCAGAAUCCUUUUUCCAAAUUAGGUCAAAUUACAGAAUCCACAAGGCCCUGGUUCCCUGCCCACCAGGGACCAGGGGGAGGAUGCCGACUGCAGAGGGGCGGGAGGGGACUUUGGGGACAGUGGACAUAUUCUACAUAGUAACCCUGGUGGCAAGUGCAUGAUCUAUACCCUUGUCAAAACCUAUAAUACUGUGCACCAACCCCCCCAGGGUACCCCAGUUUUAAGUGGCAGGACUGGGGUGAAGGAGGCAGGCUGGGACCAGCCACUGCUUCUGGUGUCACCCAUGUCCGACCUGUUCUUCCGGGGGGGGGGGACAUGGAGGCGGGGAGCGCUGGCUUCCCCUGCUA